UAGCCCAUCCCUACUGAUGGUUCUUUUGAGCAGCCUGAGAAAGCUGUGCCUGCAGGGUUACAGAGCAGAGUCAGGAGGAGCUUGGAAGAGGGAGUGUUUGUGCUUUUGUAAGGAAUUGUGAAAUGAAGUAGCAUCCUGUUCAGCAGCUCUCCUUUAUGAAUUUGAGGAACAUACUGAGCACCUAAAGGAAGAGUCCAAGGCUAGCUUGUAUAGACUAAACAACAAACAAAUGGGAGCUAGAGACUGUGCCUUCCUACCCACCCAACAUGACCAGUGACAGAUGUACAGUGGUUUGAGCACACGAGGGUCACAGCAAUGGGAAUCUGGACACCUCAUCACUGCUUCAGUUCACAGCUGCUCAAAGAAGGAAGGAGGCAUCAAGGAGAAGACACAAUGAAGUAUGCCUGGAGAGACAAACAAGAAAUUGUGAUAGAAGAACCAGAUAUUUCCACUCCUACUUGCUGCUUCCUAGCUAUCCUCCAACACCACAUCUCGCAAGGAGGAUGCUGCUCCGUGUGAACUGAGGCUGUGUCUACACUAACUGGCUUGUCAUUGCUGCUUACUGGAGGCAUCUGAACACACCCGUAUGUCAUCUUGAAAAACCUGCCAAAGAUCCUAAACCCAGGCCAGCAGUUGCAGAUUUAGCCUGGAGUAGGGCUCUUCCUUUGGCGGGACAAAAGGAGCCAGAAGAGGCUUGAGCACCAAAGCCAGUCCUGUCCUCAGGAAGCUGGGAACACGGCUCUUUGCUCCGCACCCGGAGAGGUGACAGCAGUGAGCCACUAUCUGAGGCUACUGGGAACCACACAGGAAAGGGUGAGGAAGUCAGUCAGUCUGAAUUUACGCUAUCAAAAGGAAGCAAUACUUCUGAGCAGUUCAAGAUAUUUAGACCAAAUGAAUUAGUCCAAAUUCUUUCAAAGAAUGUAUUACACUGGAGUAACUCUGUUCACUCAGCAAGUAUGCAUCUUCAUUACUAGUUGCAAUGAUGAUAAUUUGCCAUUGUUUUCCUGAUUAUUUCCUGAUUAUAAUAUAGCUCUGUCAGAGUUAAAUUAAAAAAUGGUAUUUUCAACAUGGAGUUUGGAGUCCUGGUUAGAAAAAGAAUUAAAACUUUUCAGACUUAGCCAGAUCAGCCCAAUCUUUAAUCCAGAAUUUAAAAAUAGAUAACCCUCUGUUUCAUUUUCACUUUCCCCUGGAAAUGACCAUGUAACUAAGGUAUCUUCCAAGCUGCUGACAUCCUAAACACCUACACGUGGAAAAUAGGUAGUUUAUAAAAGUCUUUUUCCCAUCUCUAAAAUUAACUACACCUGUUCUUAUUCAGGGAAGUGAGUGCCAUUAAAUCAUGAAAUUGCUUAUGAUAAAACCAAAGAAAGUGUGAGUGAAAACGUAAACACAACGAAGACUUGGUGGUGCCAAAAUUAAACUUAUAUUACACCAGCUGAUAACUAACUGGAAGUCAGAAAUAUAAUACAUUAAAAUAAACAGUUUGAGAUUAAUCUUUAGCUAUCUGGCAGAGCGUGAAUUAAAGCAAAUUUCAAACAAUGUCAACAUCAGUUUAAUUUUCCUUCCCUUACACCCUCUUUCAUUCCCCAGCUUUAUAUACAUGUUUUUAGUUGAAUUGCAAACUAGGGAUGGACUUUUAGCUGGUAGCCAGUGGACCCAUGUUCACAUGGCCUGGGUUGUCCAGACAUCGGGAAGCACAGUAUUUUAACAGGAAAUUCCCCAAGCCAUCUGGAAAAGGAGUGGGAUUUUCUGUCAUUUGCCAGCUGUACUGCUUUCUGAAUAGGUCACUGUGAGACUUUGGAGUUGUUUGGGUUUGCUAUUUAUCUCAGUUUUUAGGAAAAAAAAAGUCAUUUGCUGUUUGAAAUUCAGGUUUGUCUCAAAGUUCUCACUCCUGUUUAUCACCUACGAGAAAGCUUUUUGGUUUUGUUGCAGAGAGCUGCAUGCCAAACAAAAUUGAGUAGUGUUUGGAUUUAAUAUUAGAGCAAGGGCAGAUAAUACAGAAAAUAAAAAGCACUCCCCUGUUGUGCAAGAUAUACUUAUAUGGCUCUGUUCACUUGAAAAUCUGUUCUCGUUGAUCUUAGUCUGACUCUCGGCAGGGUUUCCUUGGUCAAGGAGGCUAAAAUUGAUUCAAGACCCAAAGCUCUUCAGCUCAGUGUUGACAAAACCUAGAAUCCAACGUUCCUGUGUCAACACGCUCUGACUUUCUUGGAUCUUCAAACCACAUUUUGCUGUAUGACCAAAAAUGGAAGGUGGAUCGCAAUGAGAAACACAUGGCUGAGCAUGGAAUUUCAAACUGGGGAGAAGAAAGGAGGAGGAGGAGGAGGACAGAGAUUGAGAGAAAGAGAGCAGAGGAAAGUAGAAAAUAAAAAGAGAAAUUAAAUUUAGGCCCCUCUAUUAAGGAGAAGAAAAACAAUGUACUAAGCUCUUCU